AUGAGAAUAGAAGGCUACCGAGAAGAAACUACAACAGUAAUGGCACAUUUGAAGAAGGUUCUUUUUGCCAAGCAGCAGGCCUGCUGCCUGAGUGCACAGAAGGCCAAUAUUAUGGUUCCCAUCCCUUCUUCUUCUCACUGGGUGGGGCCUCCUGACCUGGGGCCCCAACCACCCCCUACCUGGGCUCUCCGGCUGGUAUUACCUCUGCAUUUGCCUGAACUGGAGCUCCCAGAAGUAGCAAGCAGGCCUGCCAACUUUGCAGCUGCACAGUCUCCAUUCCUGCUGCCCUCAGGCUUGGGAGGGAGUGCAGUCAUCAGGGCUAAUGUGGGCCCCCAGCACAGCACAGCUGCUAUACAGAAAAACAGCCAUUAUGUCUACAGCAUCCUUUCUCUGCAAGUCCUCUUAACUACAAUGGCUUCAACGGUUUUUUAAUACUUUGAGUCUAUACGAACAUUUGUACAUGACAAUCCUGCCUUAAUUUUGCUGUUUGCCCUCGGAUCUCUGGGAUUGAUUUUUGCAUUGAAUUUUAACAGACAUAACUAUCCCCUUAACCUGUACCUAGUUUUUGGAUUUACGUUAUUGGAAGCACUAACUGUGGCUGUUAUUGUUACUUUCUAUGAUGUACAUAUUAUUCUGCAAGCUUACAUAUUGACUACUGGAGUAUUUUUUGGUUUGACUAUGUAUAUUCUGCAAGCUAAGAAGGAUUUCAUCAAAUUAGGGGCAGGGCUGUUUGCUUUUUUGUGGAUUUUGUGCUUGUCAGGAGUCUUCAAGUUAUUUUUUUAUAGUGAGACAGUGGAGCUGGUCUUAGCUGCUGCAGGAGCCCUUCUUUUCUGUGGAUUCAUCAUCCAUGACACACACUCACUGAUGCAUAAACUGUCACCUGAAGAAUACCUAAUUUUGUUAUAA